GUCCACGCCGUAAACGAUGGAUACUAGCUGUUUGGUGCAAACUCAGUGGCUAAGCGAAAGUGAUAAGUAUCCCACCUGGGGAGUACGUUCGCAAGAAUGAAACUCAAAGGAAUUGACGGGGGCCCGCACAAGCGGUGGAGCAUGUGGUUUAAUUCUAUGAUACGCGAGGAACCUUACCAAGGCUUAAAUGUAGAUUGACCGGUUUGGAAACAGACUUUUCGCAAGACAAUUUACAAGGUGCUGCAUGGUUGUCGU
rnacentral:rRNA from 1 species